rnacentral:lncRNA from 10 species
CGCUGAGGAUAGGAGGCCUUCAGGAUGUUUUUCAGACGGACCCCACCUGUACUUGUGACUCAUGACUCAACUGCUCCUGUGGCCCUAUCCAGAGGUGGACUCAGUGCAUGAGGACAGUGUUCCUUACACCUAUGAUUUCAUCCACAACAAGUCAGCAGCACCCAUUCCCUAGCCCCCACUGCCCACCAAAUUGUCCAUAAAAACCA